GUCUACGGCCAUGCCACCCUGAACAAACCUGAUCCUGUCUGAUCUCAGAAACUAAGCAGGGUUGGGCCUGGUUAGUACUUGGAUGGGAGACCACCUAGGGAGACCAAGUGCUGUAGGUG
rnacentral:rRNA from 1 species